rnacentral:rRNA from 1 species
GAAUUUGGACAUGGGCGCAGCCUGAUCCAGCCAUGCCGCGUGAGUGAUGAAGGCCCUAGGGUUGUAAAGCUCUUUCAACGGUGAAGAUAAUGACGGUAACCUGUAGAAUAAGCCCCGGGCUAACUUCGUGCCAGCAGCCGCGGGUGAA